AUUGAACGCUGGCGGCAGGCUUAACACAUGCAAGUCGAGCGGGGACUUCGGUCCUAGCGGCGAACGGGUGAGGAAUGCUUGGGAAUCUGCCCAGUAGCGGGGGAUAACGUUUCGAAAGGAACGCUAAUACCGCAUACGCCCUACGGGGGAAAGGGGGGGAUCUUCGGACCUCUCGCUAUUGGAUGAGCCCAAGUCGGAUUAGCUAGUUGGUGGGGUAAAGGCCUACCAAGGCGACGAUCCGUAGCUGGUCUGAGAGGAUGAUCAGCCACACUGGAACUGAGACACGGUCCAGACUCCUACGGGAGGCAGCAGUGGGGAAUAUUGGACAAUGGGCGGAACCCUGAUCCAGCCAUGCCGCGUGUGUGAAGAAGGCCUUAUGGUUGUAAAGCACUUUAAGCGAGGAGGAGGCUACUGAGACUAAUACUCUUGGAUAGUGGACGUUACUCGCAGAAUAAGCACCGGCUAACUCUGUGCCAGCCGCCGCCGUAACAC
rnacentral:rRNA from 1 species